ACGGGGGGACUCCUACGGGAGGCAGCAGUGGGGAAUAUUGGACAAUGGGCGAAAGCCUGAUCCAGCAAUGCCGCGUGAGUGAUGAAGGCCUUAGGGUUGUAAAGCUCUUUUACCCGGGAUGAUAAUGACAGUACCGGGAGAAUAAGCCCCGGCUAACUCCGUGCCAGCAGCCGCGGUAAU
rnacentral:rRNA from 1 species